GGGACUGAGGCUUCAGUGUGUUAGUAGAACAGGUUAGUGAACUCAGCCCCAGGACCAGCUGGAUGAGGGGACUGAGGCUUCAGUGUGUUAGUAGAACAGGUUUGUGAACUCAGCCCCCGGACCAGCUGGAUGAGGGGACUGAGGCUUCAGUGUGUUAGUAGAACAGGUUAGUGAACUCAGGACCAGCUGGAUGAGGGGACUGAGGCUUCAGUGUGUUAGUAGAACAGGUUAGUGAACUCAGCCCCAGGACCAGCUGGAUGAGGGGACUGAGGCUUCAGUGUGUUAGUAGAACAGGUUAGUGAACUCAGGACCAGCUGGAUGAGGGGACUGAGGCUUCAGUGUGUUAGUAGAACAGGUUAGUGAACUCAGGACCAGCUGGAUGAGGGGACUGAGGCUUCAGUGUGUUAGUAGAACAGGUUUGUGAACUCAGGACCAGCUGGAUGAGGGGACUGAGGCUUCAGUGUGUUAGUAGAACAGGUUAGUGAACUCAGGACCAGCUGGAUGAGGGGACUGAGGCUUCAGUGUGUUAGUAGAACAGGUUAGUGAACUCAGGACCAGCUGGAUGAGGGGACUGAGGCUUCAGUGUGUUAGUAGAACAGGUUAGUGAACUCAGCCCCAGGACCAGCUGGAUGAGGGGACUGAGGCUUCAGUGUGUUAGUAGAACAGGUUUGUGAACUCAGCCCCAGGACCAGCUGGAUUAGGGGACUGAGGCUUCAGUGUGUUUGUAGAACAGGUUAGUGAACUCAGGACCAGCUAGAUGAGGGGACUGAGGCUUCAGUGUGUUAGUAGAACAGGUUUGUGAACUCAGCCCCAGGACCAGCUGGAUGAGGGGACUGAGGCUUCAGUGUGUUAGUAGAACAGGUUUGUGAACUCAGCCCCAGGACCAGCUGGAUGAGGGGACUGAGGCUUCAGUGUGUUAGUAGAACAGGUUAGUGAACUCAGCCCCAGGACCAGCUGGAUGAGGGGACUGAGGCUUCAGUGUGUUAGUAGAACAGGUUAGUGAACUCAGCCCCAGGACCAGCUGGAUGAGAGGACUGAGGCUUCAGUGUGUUAGUAGAACAGGUUAGUGAACUCAGGACCAGCUGGAUGAGGGGACUGAGGCUUCAGUGUGUUAGUAGAACAGGUUAGUGAACUCAGGACCAGCUGGAUGAGGGGACUGAGGCUUCAGUGUGUUAGUAGAACAGGUUAGUGAACUCAGGACCAGCUGGAUGAGGGGACUGAUGCUUCAGUGUGUUAGUAGAACAGGUUUGUGAACUCAGGACCAGCUGGAUGAGGGGACUGAGGCUUCAGUGUGUUAGUAGAACAGGUUAGUGAACUCAGGACCAGCUGGAUGAGGGGACUGAGGCUUCAGUGUGUUAGUAGAACAGGUUUGUGAACUCAGCCCCAGGACCAGCUGGAUGAGGGGACUGAGGCUUCAGUGUGUUAGUAGAACAGGUUAGUGAACUCAGCCCCAGGACCAGCUGGAUGAGGGGACUGAGGCUUCAGUGUGUUAGUAGAACAGGUUUGUGAACUCAGCCCCAGGACCAACUGGAUGAGGGGACUGAGGCUUCAGUGUGUUAGUAGAACAGGUUAGUGAACUCAGCCCCAGGACCAGCUG